rnacentral:rRNA from 1 species
UACGUAGGGGGCAAGCGUUGUCCGGAUUUAUUGGGCGUAAAGAGCGUGUAGGCGGCCAUUCAGGUCAGCUGUGAAAACUCGAGGCUCAACCUCGAGACGUCGGUUGAAACCGUUUGGCUAGAGUCCGGAAGAGGAGAGUGGAAUUCCCGGUGUAGCGGUGAAAUGCGCAGAUAUCGGGAGGAACACCGGUGGCGAAGGCGGGUCUCUGGGCCGAUACUGACGCUGAGGAGCGAAAGCGUGGGGAGCGAACAGG